rnacentral:misc_RNA from 1 species
GAUGAAGAACGCAGCGAAAUGCGAUAAGUAAUGUGAUUUGCAGAAUUCAGUGAAUCAUCGAAUCUUUGAACGCACAUUGCGCCCCCUGGUAUUCCGGGGGGCAUGCCUGUUCGAGCGUCAUUUCACCACUCAAGCCUCGCUUGGUAUUGGGCAACGCGGUCCGCCGCGUGCCUCAAAUCGACCGGCUGGGUCUUCUGUCCCCUAAGCGUUGUGGAAACUAUUCGCUAAAGGGUGUUCGGGAGGCUACGCCGUAAAACAACCCCAUUUCUAAGGUUGACCUCGGAUCAGGUAGGGAUACCCGCUGAACUUAAGCAUAUCAAUAAGCGGAGGA